AUAAUGAUUGACUUUCCAUAACAGGCAUGUGAAGUGGUAAAUUUUUAUAGGAUUUGUUUUGUAAGAAAGCAAUUUAGGUACUAAAAUGUAUGGGUAUUGUUGUCAUUUAAUCUCUGAAAAUUGUUUUGAGGAAGAACUAAGGUGAAUUUUGUCAAAUUCAUGAUUUGUUCAACAGAAAGAAAAGAUAAUGGUGUUUCUGCAAGUGGGUUGAUUUGAUAUUAAACACAAAACUGAAUGUCUUCCUUCAUAUUGUAUAUCUGCUUCUGAGAUUCUAGCAUUUUCUUCAAGCAUGGUCUGGCCAGCACCAAAUUUUAUUGACAGGUUUUACCAGUGAAAUUUUAAAUUAUAAAUACUAUGUGAGGAUAUAUUAUAUACAUCCUAUGUUGCUAUGAUAUCUCAUCUUCUGCGUUUUUAAAAUGGACUGUACAACUCUCUGUGUUUAACUUUUCAGGAGCUGGCAAACCUUUUGAAGCUAUAUUCGUGUUCAAUUCCAAGGAGAAUGGCGCUUGUGAUCCACUAAUAGUAUUGCUUCAUGGAGGGCCAAAUGACGUCUCAGUGUCAAGUUUCUCAACGUCUUCGGCAUUUCUCUCUUCAAUAGGUUACAGCUUG
rnacentral:misc_RNA from 1 species